UUGGCCAGGCUGGUCUCCAACUCCUGACCUCGGGUGAUCAGCCCGCCUCAGCCUCCCAAAGAGCAUCUAUAUUAUAUUUAUUUACUUCAAAUAUCUGUAGACAAAUAGAAUGCCAAGACAGGAAAAGUAAAUCAACUCUAUUAGCACAGAAGGCUAACUUCAGGUCAGGGAGCAAGAGUUAUACAUAACAGGUUAAGUGGAAAAGAGGGGAAAAAAAGGAAAAGAGGCCAGGCGCGG
rnacentral:lncRNA from 1 species